GGGGCAGCAUGGUCUUAGCUUGCUAAGGCUGAUGGCGACCGGCGCACGGGUGAGUAACACGUAUCCAACCUGCCGUCUACUCUUGGCCAGCCUUCUGAAAGGAAGAUUAAUCCAGGAUGGCAUCAUGAGUUCACAUGUCCGCAUGAUUAAAGGUAUUUUCCGGUAGACGAUGGGGAUGCGUUCCAUUAGAUAGUAGGCGGGGUAACGGCCCACCUAGUCAACGAUGGAUAGGGGUUCUGAGAGGAAGGUCCCCCACAUUGGAACUGAGACACGGUCCAAACUCCUACGGGAGGCAGCAGUGAGGAAUAUUGGUCAAUGGGCGAUGGCCUGAACCAGCCAAGUAGCGUGAAGGAUGACUGCCCUAUGGGUUGUAAACUUCUUUUAUAAAGGAAUAAAGUCGGGUAUGCAUACCCGUUUGCAUGUACUUUAUGAAUAAGGAUCGGCUAACUCCGUGCCAGCAGCCGCGGUAAUACGGAGGAUCCGAGCGUUAUCCGGAUUUAUUGGGUUUAAAGGGAGCGUAGAUGGAUGUUUAAGUCAGUUGUGAAAGUUUGCGGCUCAACCGUAAAAUUGCAGUUGAUACUGGAUGUCUUGAGUGCAGUUGAGGCAGGCGGAAUUCGUGGUGUAGCGGUGAAAUGCUUAGAUAUCACGAAGAACUCCGAUUGCGAAGGCAGC
rnacentral:rRNA from 1 species